rnacentral:lncRNA from 1 species
CUCUUUCUCUUUCACUAUUGUCGAACCUUCAUCGAUUCAGGUACUCUUUUUUAUUUUAUUUUAUUUUAUUCCUUUUUAAAUAUUUCCAUUUUCUGUAUAUUUAUUGAUGAUUCUAGAAUACUUGUAGAACUAUUUCUAGUAGUGGAUUCAUGUUUUUAUGUGAUUUCUUUGUGUUUGUGGUUUGUUACUUGGUUUUAGCUCUUAGAACUGUUUCCAUUUUGGUUUUACUGUGUUGGUUUUUUCUAAAAUUUUUCAUUCGUGCACUUCAUGUGUAAUGUCUCUUUGUAACUUAAUUUGUUGCCUUCAAGGUGUUUGUUAUUUGACUUAUUUUUUCAUCUGUGCACUUAAAAUGCUGGUGUACAUCUUUUAUGAUGGUGUUUUGUGGAUUUGAAUGAGGUUUAAUCUAGCAACUUGAAAAUUUACUCGGUGCAGAGUUGAGAUCAAUUGUUGGUUCUAAAGUAAUUUGGUGGAAAAAUUAUCUAACNNNNNNNNNNNNNNNNNNNNNNNGAACAAAUAUUCUACUCUGUUAGGCUAUAGUAGUUUCAAUUCAGUUUCUAAAGUUAUUAUAUAAAAGUUAUUAUAUUUUUGAAGCUCCCUCUCACUCGAACCCGUUGAAUUUUGUAUAUGUUGAGUUCUUGAAGAUAACGCGUACCUUCUCUUUCAUUUCUCAGGGAUCCCUACUUAGAGUGUGUCAAUUCAGACCAUCAAAGUUUGUUGGCUUAGCUAUGAGCAAGGUCAGUCAUUAAAGUUUUCAGUUUAUUCUAUGAUUGGACUAUGUAUAAUAUUUCUCCUUACCAAUAUAAAAUAAUGCAUCAGUUGUUAUAGUAACAACAAUAUAAGUACUAAUAACUAAAUGUUAUUUAUGUCUUUACUUGAGUGUUUACUAGUGUACCAAGAACAAGGAAAGUGAUUUCCUUGUCCCAAUCCAAUGGUGUUUUUAUCUUCAUGGGGUGGCAGACAUUGUCUCAUAUGCUAUGCAACAAUGGUUUAAUUUCAAGUCUUAAAUGUAAAGAAUAUACUUGAAUAUGCUAGAAUUUUUCAAAUUGUAAGUAGCAUGUGUUGUAGGUGACAUUAGCAUGCCUCUUUUUCAAAUUGAAUAUACUCAUAUUGUAAUUAUUGGGAUUAUGGUAACCGUUGAUUCUCGAUUGUAUUUGUUAUUGUGUAGUUUCUAAAAAGACUCAUAAUUUUUGUCUAUAACAGGAGAUUAUAUAACUUGGUCUGAUUGGUUGAGAGAGAUCAAUGGUUGCUAUGGCCGGGCAGAAAGUAAUGCACUAUUGUCAUAUGGUCACAAACUAGAGUAACUAACAAAUGUUUCUGAUAUG